GGAUUAGAUACCCGGGUAGUCCACGCUGUAAACGAUGGGUACUAGGAUUGGUGGGAGUUGACCCCUGCCGAUCCGGAGCUAACGCAAUAAGUACCCCGCCUGGGAAGUACGGUCGCAAGACUAAAACUCAAAGGAAUUGACGGGAGCCCGCACAAGCGGUGGAUUAUGUGGUUUAAUUCGAAGCAACGCGCAGAACCUUACCUAGGUUUGACAUCCUUUGACAAUGUGAGAGAUCACACUUUCGUAGCAAUACGACAAAGAGACAGGUGCUGCAUGGCUGUCGUCAGCUCGUGUGGUGGCAUGUCGGGUUAAGUCCCUCAACGAGCGCAACCCCUGUGUUUAGUUGCCAGCAUUAAGUUGGGCACUCUAGACAGACUGCCGUGGUUAACACGGA
rnacentral:rRNA from 1 species